UACAGAGGAUGCAAGCGUUACUCGGAAUCACUGGGCGUAAAGCGUGCGUAGGUGGCGCGUUAAGUGAGAUGUUAAAUCGUGUGGCUCAACCAUAUCGAUGCAUCUCAUACUGGCGUGCUAGAGGACGGCAGAGGCAAGUGGAAUUGGUAGUGUAGCAGUGAAAUGCGUAGAUAUUACCAGGAACACCAAUGGCGAAGGCAGCUUGCUGGGCCACUCCUGACACUGAGGUACGAAAGCGUGGGGAGCGAACAGG
rnacentral:rRNA from 1 species